rnacentral:tRNA from 1 species
GCCGGGGUGCCCUAGCGGUAGGGGGCAGGCCUGCUAAGCCUGUGGGCCAAAAGCCCGCGCGGGUUCAAGUCCCGCCCCCGGCGCCA